rnacentral:sRNA from 1 species
AAAUAGCCCCGAUUGAAGAGGAAAUCCUUUUUUAUUCGCCGCGGCGAAUAAAAAAGAUUGUAACAAAAAGCGGGAAAUAGC